CCCUUAGAUGUUCUGGGCCGCACGCGCGCUACACUGAUCGGUGCAACAAGCAUCCGUCCUUGGCCGACAGGCCCGGGCAAUCUUUGAACGCCGGUCGUGAUGGGGAUAGACCUUUGCAAUUUUUGGUCUUCAACGAGGAAUUCCUAGUAAACGCAAGUCAUCAACUUGCAUUGAUUACGUCCCUGCCCUUUGUACACACCGCCCGUCGCACCUACCGAUUGAAUGGUCCGGUGAAACCUCCGGAUUGGCGCGUGCCCUCGGGCGCCGCCGAGAAGUUGGUUAAACCUUACCAUUUAGAGGAAGGUGAAGUCGUANCA
rnacentral:rRNA from 1 species